rnacentral:rRNA from 1 species
GUAGGUGGCAAGCGUUGUCCGGAAUUAUUGGGCGUAAAGCGCGCGCAGGCGGUUCUUUAAGUCUGAUGUGAAAGCCCACGGCUCAACCGUGGAGGGUCAUUGGAAACUGGAGAACUUGAGUACAGAAGAGGAAAGCGGAGUUCCACGUGUAGCGGUGAAAUGCGUAGAGAUGUGGAGGAACACCAGUGGCGAAGGCGGCUUUCUGGUCUGUAACUGACGCUGAGGCGCGAAAGCGUGGGGAGCAAACAGGGAUUAGAUACCCUGGUAGUCCGCGCCGUAAACGAUGAGUGCUAAGUGUUAGGGGGUUUCCGCCCCCUUAGUGCUGCAGCUAACGCAUUAAGCACUCCGCCUGGGGAUACGGCCGCAAGGCUG